rnacentral:misc_RNA from 1 species
GAUGAAGAACGCAGCGAAAUGCGAUACGUAAUGUGAAUUGCAGAAUUCAGUGAAUCAUCGAAUCUUUGAACGCGUAUUGCGUUCUCUGGUAUUCCGGAGAGCAUGCUUGUUUGAGUAUCAGUAAACACCUCAACUUCCAUAUCUUUUUUGAAAUGGGAGUUGGACUUGAGUGAUCCCAACGCUUUUCCUCACCGAAAAGUGGCGGGUUACUUGAAAUGCAGGUGCAGCUGGACUUUUCUCUGAGCUAUAAGCAUAUCUAUUUAGUCUGCCUAAAAAACAGAUUAUUACCUUUGCUGCAGCUAACAUAAAGGAGAUUAGUUCUUGUGCCGACUGAUGCAGGAUUCACAAAGACAGGCUUCGGCCGACUUUGUAAACUCGAUCUCAAAUCAAGUAAGACUACCCGCUGAACUUAAGCAUAUCAAUAAGCGGAGGA